GACGAACGCUGGCGGCGUGCUUAACACAUGCAAGUCGAACGGGCCCGUCCUUGUUUUUGGGGGCGGGUUGAGUGGCGAACGGGUGAGUAUCACGUGAGUAACCUGCCCUCCUCUCCUGGAUAACCGCUUGAAAGGGCGGCUAAUACGGGGUGGUCCGGUUGGUCCGCAUGGGCUGGUCGGGAUAGUUUCAUCUUCGGGUGUUUCGGUGGGGGAUGGGCUCGCGGCCUAUCAGCUUGUUGGUGGGGUGAUGGCCUACCAAGGCGGUGACGGGUAGCCGGCCUGAGAGGGUGGGCGGCCACACUGGGACUGAGACACGGCCCAGACUCCUGCGGGAGGCAGCAGUGGGGGGUAUUGCACAAUGGGCGGAAGCCUGAUGCAGCGACGUCGCGUGAGGGAUGGAGGCCUUCGGGUUGUGAACCUCUGUUUCCGGUGGUGAAGGCCCCGCCCUUGGUGGUGGGGUGACGGAGCCGGGAUAAGCGCC
rnacentral:rRNA from 1 species